rnacentral:rRNA from 1 species
ACUCCUACGGGAGGCAGCAGUGAGGAAUAUUGGUCAAUGGGCGCAAGCCUGAACCAGCCAUGCCGCGUGCAGGAUGACGGUCCUAUGGAUUGUAAACUGCUUUUGUACGGGAAGAAACAGCGAUUCGUGAAUCGCCUUGACGGUACCGUAAGAAUAAGGAUCGGCUAACUCCGUGCCAGCAGCCGCGGUAAUACGGAGGAUCCAAGCGUUAUCCGGAAUCAUUGGGUUUAAAGGGUCCGUAGGCGGUUUUGUAAGUCAGUGGUGAAAGCCCCUCGCUCAACGGUGGAACGGCCAUUGAUACUGCAAGACUUGAAUUAUUAGGAAGUAA